GGCGGCGUGCCUAACACAUGCAAGUCGAACGAGAAAGUGGAGCAAUCCAUGAGUAAAGUGGCGACCGGGUGAGUAACACGUGACUAACCUACCCUCGAGUGUGGAAUAACCCCGGGAAACCGGGGCUAAUACCGCAUAACAUCGCAAGAUCAAAGGAGCAAUCCGCUUGAGGAGGGGGUCGCGGCUGAUUAGCUAGUUGGCGGGGUAACGGCCCACCAAGACGAAGAUCGGUAUCCGGCCUGAGAGGGCGCACGGACACACUGGAACUGAAACACGGUCCAGACUCCUACGGGAGGCAGCAGUGGGGAAUUUUGCGCAAUGGGGGAAACCCUGACGCAGCAACGCCGCGUGGAGGAUGAAGCCCCUUGGGGCGUAAACUCCUUUCGACCAAGACGAUGAUGACGGUACUGGUGGAAGAAGCACCGGCUAACUCUGUGCCAGCAGCCGCGGUAAUACAGAGGGUGCAAGCGUUGUUCGGAAUUAUUGGGCGUAAAGGGCGCGUACGCGGCGCGGUAAGUCACCUGUGAAAUCUCCCGGCUUAACUGGGAGCCUGCAGGCGAAACUACCG
rnacentral:rRNA from 1 species